GCACAGUUAUGGUCUUUGUUCUCUGCUAGCAUUUGAAAAUGUCAUUUUAGGUUUCACGGGUUUGCUAAAUAAUUAUUGUGUUAUUGUCACUUGUUAGUUGCAAAGAUUUUAUCUCAAGAGGAUUGAAUUUUAAUCAUGUUAAUGUUGUUGGAAGAUUACAACCUGCCUGCCCACCAAAGAUCACAGCUGUUUAAUACUUUGACGGGAGACUGUUCCUUUUCUCUUGGCUUAAAAUUUGUUUUAAUUGCUAUGUAUUAUUUGUUUUCCAAACCUUUAGGUGCAGAUUUCCAACAUAUUCCUAUUGAAGUGAAAGCAACAGACACUCACUGGUCUCAUCCGGGGAGAAAGGAUUACCCACUGACUCGCCAGCUGUCGAAAAGGAUCUUCUGUGGUCCUGCCGCUGCGGAUGUCGGCGGCUAUUUCCCCCAGUUUAAUUUUGAGUUUGGCCAGGAAAGAUUCCAGGCUUUGCUGGAACAGCUGGAGCUUUUUUGAACCAUUCAGACGCCAUCACAGGAGAAAUUUGGGAACGAAGAGUCGGUGCAUCUUUGGCGUUUUCCAUCAACACCAACGGGUAGAGCGAAACGGUAACGGGCACUCCAAGAGGUUGAUUGUUAUCCAAAGGAUCUUUGUCCAUCCAAUCGGAUGCACAUCUCAAGAUUUUCUCGGCGAAUUCGAUGGCUCCUUCGUACGUAGUUGGAGGACUGUUGUCGAUGCAAUUGCCUUCGAUGUUGGGAUCCCCUUUAAGGUUUGGUGAAUGUGAAUGUUGCCGUGGCACCGUACUGGAUUUUCGUAACGACGUGAGUUGCGUAGGCGAUCCUGCCGGUUGUUUUAAUCAGCGGGUAACGCAAAUUACAUUCUUCAAGCUGUUCCAUGGUCAAUUCCUUGAAUGCGGUGUGAAGCAGAAGAGUCGCUUUAACACUUGUUUGUCCGAUGUCUGCAGCGAAAAUUCGGUGUGUGGAUUCCGGGAAGUUGUCACGUUUUUCAAAUCGAUUUCAUUCCAGAAAUCGAGUCCUAAUCAAUCAAUGGAAUGAUGUCCUCGUGAAUGGCAUCAUAAAGGGAACCCAGUUUGAACUUCCGUCCAAGGGCAGGCACUUGCAACCCGUUUCUACUUAUAUCGUCUCUACUGAACAUGAUAACGGACUGCGUGGACUGUAGCAAAUAAAUUUGGGAGUGAGACACAUCCGCUACGAUCGACCCUAUCCUGCCAGUCCACAGCAAACAGCGCCCUAAAGCCACGAA
rnacentral:misc_RNA from 1 species